rnacentral:rRNA from 1 species
CUGAAUACAUAGGUUAAGGAGGCGAACCGGGGGAACUGAAACAUCUAAGUACCCCGAGGAAAAGAAAUCAACCGAGAUUCCGAAAGUAGCGGCGAGCGAAAUUGGACUGGCCCUUAAGCUUUACACGCGUUAGACGAACGGUCUGGAAAGUCCGACGAUACAGGGUGAUAGUCCCGUAGUUGACGACGUGUGUUCAGUGAAAUCGAGUAGGGCGGGACACGUGAUAUCCUGUCUGAAUAUGGGGGGACCAUCCUCAAGGCUAAAUACUACUGACUGACCGAUAGUGAACCAGUACCGUGAGGGAAAGGCGAAAAGAACCCCUGUGAGGGGAGUGAAAUAGAACCUGAAACCGUGUACGUACAAGCAGUAGGAGCAGGCUUUGUCCUGUGACUGCGUACCUUUUGUAUAAUGGGUCAGCGACUUAUAUUCAGUGGCAAGGUUAACCAUCUAGGGGAGCCGUAGGGAAACCGAGUCUUAACUGGGCGUUCAGUCUCUGGAUAUAGACCCGAAACCAGGUGAUCUAGCCAUGGGCAGGUUGAAGGUUGAGUAACAUCAACUGGAGGACCGAACCGACUAAUGUUGAAAAAUUAGCGGAUGACUUGUGGCUAGGGGAGAAGGGCCAAUCAAACCUGGAGAUAGCUGGUUCUCCCCGAAAGCUAUUUAGGUAGCGCCUCGGACGAAUACUACUGGGGGUAGAGCACUGUUAAGGCUAGGGGGUCAUCCCGACUUACCAACCCUUUGCAAACUCCGAAUACCAGUAAGUACUAUCCGGGAGACACACGGCGGGUGCUAACGUCCGUCGUGGAGAGGGAAACAACCCAGACCGCCAGCUAAGGUCCCAAAUUACUACUAAGUGGGAAACGAUGUGGGAAGGCUCAGACAGCCAGGAUGUUGGCUUAGAAGCAGCCAUCAUUUAAAGAAAGCGUAAUAGCUCACUGGUCGAGUCGGCCUGCGCGGAAGAUGUAACGGGGCUAAGUAGUAAACCGAAGCUGCGGCAAU